rnacentral:lncRNA from 1 species
GUUAGAUGAACGGAUUACCGCAAACCCAAGCCGUGCACCCACUGGCCUGCUAACUAGUGGACAUUUGCGGAAAGCUUAGAAGGAAUAGGAGACCCUUGGUCUUGAAUUUGCAGUAUGAAGCGUUAAAUUCUACAACAUAGGAAGAGUGAGGUGGCAGACAAAAAAGCAUUGCUUGAACAUGAAUAUUCCAACACAGAUGACCAUAAACCAAGAAAUCUGGGAGGGUAGCUUAGGUUGAAGUGGGAAGGAAAAGGGUUAAGGGGAUUCUAGGAAGUUUCCUGAUGUGAUUGACAUUUGUUUUGUAGUAGAGAUGAACACUUUGAUAAUAUUCAGAUUUGCUUUCCUAGUCGUCUUAAAUGGUACUCGGGUAACAAAUAACCUGCUUAUGAGAAUUUAUGAAUUCCUCUGUCAAACAUCAGUGGCCGCCAUCACUUUGAGAGAUUGUAUAAAAAGAUCGUAUAGUCAAAUCAACUAUACUUCAGUAACAUAAAUUCUCAAGCAGUGUCUGUAGUUCAGUGGGGGGUGAACGACGAGUAAUUCAUGCUAGGAAUUUGUGUAUGUUGUUGUACUUUACAGCAGCAACAUGAGUGUAAACAGUAGAC